rnacentral:rRNA from 1 species
UACAGAGGUCUCAAGCGUUGUUCGGAUUCAUUGGGCGUAAAGGGUGCGUAGGCGGCGAGGCAAGUCUGGUGUGAAAUCCCGGGGCUCAACCUCCGGGGCUGCCGGUCAGACUGGCGAGCUAGAGCACGGUAGGGGCAGAUGGAAUUCCCGGUGUAGCGGUGGAAUGCGUAGAGAUCGGGAAGAAUACCAGUGGCGAAGGCGUUCUGCUGGGCCGUUGCUGACACUGAGGCGCGACAGCGUGGGGAGCAAACAGG